GACGUAGGGCGCGAGCGUUGUCCGGAUUUAUUGGGCGUAAAGAGCUCGUAGGCGGCUCGUCGCGUCGACCGUGAAAACCCGCGGCUUAACUGCGGGCUUGCGGUUGAUACGGGCGGGCUAGAGUUCGGUAGGGGAGACUGGAAUUCCUGGUGUAGCGGUGAAAUGCGCAGAUAUCAGGAGGAACACCGGUGGCGAAGGCGGGUCUCUGGGCCGAUACUGACGCUGAGGAGCGAAAGCGUGGGGAGCGAACAGG
rnacentral:rRNA from 1 species